rnacentral:rRNA from 1 species
AGAGUUUGAUCCUGGCUCAGGACGAACGCUGGCGGCGUGCUUAACACAUGCAAGUCUAAGGAGAACGGAUUCUUCGGAAUCCUAUUAAACUGGCGAACGGGUGAGUAUCGCGUAGACAACUUACCCAGGGAUUUGGGAUAACACCGAGAAAUUGGUGCUAAUACUGGAUAAUAUCAUAAGGACCUCGGUCUUUGUGAUCAAAGGUGGCUUCGGCUACCGUCUCUGGAUGGGUCUGCGUCUGAUUAGCUAGUUGGUAGGGUAAUGGCCUACCAAGGCAACGAUCAGUAGCUGGUCUGAGAGGAUGAUCAGCCACACUGGGACUGAGAUACGGCCCAGACUCCUACGGGAGGCAGCAGUGGGGAAUAUUGCGCAAUGGACGAAAGUCUGACGCAGCAACGCCGCGUGAUCGAUGACGCUUCAAGGAGUGUAAAGAUCUGUCCUAGGGGAAGAAUGGUUUCAAGUUGAAUAAGCUUGAUUCGUGACGGUACCUUAGAAGAAAGCACCGGCUAACUUCGUGCCAGCAGCCGCGGUAAUACGAGGGGUGCAAGCGUUGUCCGGAUUCAUUGGGUGUAAAGGGUGCGUAGGUGGAAUCGUAAGUUGGAAUUUAAAUCCCGCAGCUUAACUGCGGACCUGGUUUCAAAACUGCGGUUCUUGAGUUCGAAAGAGGGGAGUGGAAUUCCUAGUGUAGCGGUGGAAUGCGUAGAUAUUAGGAGGAACACCAGUGGCGAAGGCGGCUCUCUGGUUCGAUACUGACACUAAGGCACGAAAGCGUGGGGAGCAAACAGGAUUAGAUACCCUGGUAGUCCACGCCGUAAACGAUGAGC